rnacentral:rRNA from 1 species
UAAUACAGAGGGUGCGAGCGUUGUUCGGAAUUAUUGGGCGUAAAGGGCGCGUANGCGGUGCGGUAAGUCACCUGUGAAAUCUCCUGGCUCAACUGGGAGCUUGCAGGCGAAACUGCCGUGCUGGAGUGUGGGAGAGGUGCGUGGAAUUCCCGGUGUAGCGGUGAAAUGCGUAUAUAUCGGGAGGAACACCUGUGGCGAAAGCGGCGCACUGGACCACAACUGACGCUGAGGCGCGAAAGCUAGGGGAGCAAACGGGAUUAGAUACCCUGGUAGUCCUAGCCCUAAACUAUGGAUGCUUGGUGUGAUGGGUACCCAAUCCCAUCGUGCCGCAGCUAACGCGUUAAGCAUCCCGCCUGGGGAGUACCGUCGCAAGGCUGAAACUCAAAGGAAUUGACGGGGGCCCGCCCAAGCGUGGACAUGUUGUCAAUUCGACGCACGCGAAGAUACUU